CCUUUCCCUGUGCCGAUUCUUUUUCUCACGCCGCAUGAUAUUUUUCUCACGCCGCUAGGUUUCCUUUCGCCAGCAAUCGAGCUCGUUCUCCUUCGAUCGAAAUCUCCUCUUUUCCCAACGUCGCACGCCGCAAGUCUCCUUUAAUCGAUCUCCUCUUUUCCUUUCGUUCGCAUGCCGCAAAUCGACAAUCACACACGACCAAGUUUUGCUUUUCGCACACCACCACUUUGUCCUUAGAUUUCGUCUUUUACCUACGCCACACCUCUCGGUCACGACGCACAAGAUUUCUAUUUUUUGCAGGAAGCCGCAUUUCUUUCUCAUGCCGCAAGCCGCCGCUCACACAAACCUCUGCUGCAUUUUCCAGGAACGCGCCGAAUCCACCCUUCAUCUUCUUAGGUUUGUGUAUGUGCUAAUCCUAUCUUGUUUCUAGGUUUUUGCAGAUUUUUUUUUGUUUUGUUUUGCUUAGUGUUACAUUUUUUUUUUAUUUUGUUUAGUGUUACAUUUUUGUAGAUUUUUUUUGCUAUGUAUCCAAAUUACCAACAAUUGAAGAAUCUUGAUUACAAUUUUCCAGAACAUCCCUCUGAUCAACUUCAAGUUUUUUGAAAUUAUUCAAACUUUAUUCAGCUAAUUCACGUCUUUACACCUAUUGUAUCUGUCUGUUGUGCAAUUUUCAAGCCUCUUUGUGAAAUGAUUUUCAUGCUUGUUGGUAAUACUAUCUAUUAUUGGGGUAGUACCAUGUGGUAAAGUAGUCAUCAAGCUUAGUUUGUGUGCUCAUUCAAAUUUACAUUAAAGAGCAUUUCAGUCUUAGUUCUUAGUAAUAGCUAUACCCUGUUUAUUUUGCCAAUUUCAUACAGUUAUAAAGGUUCAAUCAAUUUAAGGAACCUGAUUGUACUUGUAUUUAUUCUAUAGAAAACACAAGAAAUAAUGAGCAUGUAAGAUUAAAAAGUCAAACAUCUGUCAUUAUCAUGUUUUGAUUCAAAUCGAAGGUGCUGAUAACUUAUAUUACAUUUACUUCUAAAAUGUGUUUACGCAAUAGAAUGCUAGUUUAAACCUAGUCUUUGACAUAGCUUUGUUGAUAUGUAUGAUAAAUUGUGUUCUAUAGUAUUGUAAUGCAAGUGUAUUUAUGCAUACCGAUUUACUUAUUGUAUUGUAUCUUUUGUAUGAUUGUGAGUUCCCGAGGGCAUGAUGCUUACUGAGGUUUUGAACUUUUGUCUUCCUUAUUCCAAUUGCUUAGAUGAAAUGAUCUUUCCUCAAUCAGUAAUUGAACUUUUUGCUACUAACUUCUAUUUCAAAUGGCAUUCAGGAACAUGAUGGGGAUCUAAAUAGUGCUAUUAGCGCACAUUUUGGUGAAAUAGGCAAGGUUAUAUAUGUAUUAAUAUGUUUUACCAUUUACUCAAUACAUAGUAUUUGUGACUUUAGAAAUGCUAGUGUUUAUCAUUAAAUUAUUUCCUAGGUUAGUUUAGAGUCAUUGUCUCAUCUUUAUACUUUGUUGAUUUUGCUUAAAUACAGACAGUAGAGGAAGAAAGAGCAUUUUGUGAACACUAUUGAGAGAAUCAUGGAAGUGGGCAAUGCUGGAUCUGCUGAAGCAUUUGAUUUAACAUGAGUUUUAGUAUCCCCAAACUUAAAAUGCUUUAGAGAAUAAUUUACUAUAUCUGUGCUUUUGUCUGUAUAUUAUGAGUGCUCGACCUUAGUAGCAAGAUAGUUUGAUGUCAUAAAGUACACAUUUGACUAGACUUCUAGUAAUGAAGUAAAUGUCAAAUGAAACUUCAAGCAAAAUAUUCAGUUACGGAAUAUAUAAUGUCUAGUUUGACUUCUAGUUUGAGUCUACAUGCACUUCAGACUUUGAAACUCAUAUAUAAUGUCUCUGAAUGGUAGCAAAGCAUCUCAGCUACGGAAUGUCUGCCCGUGCAUUUACUGCUGCUGCUGAAACUCAUAUAUAAUUUUUGCUUGUUUUUUUGCUGCUGCUGCUCCCAUCUAACUUCAAGUUUAAUGCUUUUGCUUCUCUCACCAGUUACGUUAAGAUAAUAUAAUAUUUCUGUUCAAGUUUGAUGCUAUUUGGAAAACAUGCUUCUGUUGAUUAGCUUUAUUAGAUUCUGUUGAUUAGUUAAGAUAAUAUAAUAUUUUUGUACAAGUUUGGUGCUUUUUGAAAAACAUGCUUCUGUUGAUUAGCUUUACUAAAUUCUGUUGAUUAGUUUUAUUGAAGUAACUGAAGGUGGAAAACAUGCCAUUUAGAUUGGAUGAACUUGAAUAUUUGCAGGAAAAAAAAAGGGACACCCUCCAUCAUGAGUUGAAUUAUUCCAAGCUUGCUUUACUCAUGCCAAUGGAAGUCCUUCAAGUGAUAGGUACUUGGAUUUUUGUGAAGCUAUACGACUGUUGAAGAUGGUCUGCCUAGUUAGUUUUAUUUUAUAAAACUCUAUUCUAAAACUUAAUAUUUUGAGUGUAGUGUGUUGUUAGUUUUGGAUGUAAAGAACUUGUCGUUAGUUUGUAUUUGUAACUUUGACUCAAAUAUUUGUUGGAUGAAUUUAGAUUA